rnacentral:rRNA from 1 species
CAUGCUUCCAAGAAAAGCUUCUAAGCUUCAGGUAACCAGGAACCGUACCCCAAACCGACACAGGUGGUCGGGUAGAGAAUACCAAGGCGCUUGAGAGAACUCGGGUGAAGGAACUAGGCAAAAUGGCACCGUAACUUCGGGAGAAGGUGCGCCGGCUAGGGUGAAGGAUUUACUCCGUAAGCUCUGGCUGGUCGAAGAUACCAGGCCGCUGCGACUGUUUAUUAAAAACACAGCACUCUGCAAACACGAAAGUGGACGUAUAGGGUGUGACGCCUGCCCGGUGCCGGAAGGUUAAUUGAUGGGGUUAGCGCAAGCGAAACUCUUGAUCGAAGCCCCGGUAAACGGCGGCCGUAACGAUAACGGUCCUAAGGUAGCGAAAUUCCUUGUCGGGUAAGUUCCGACCUGCACGAAUGGCGUAACGAUGGCGGCGCUGUCUCCACCCGAGACCCAGUGAAAUUGAAAUCGCUGUGAAGAUGCAGUGUAUCCGCGGCUAGACGGAAAGACCCCGUGAACCUUUACUGUAGCUUUGCACUGGACUUUGAGCCUGCUUGUGUAGGAUAGGUGGGAGGCUUUGAAGCGUGGACGCCAGUUCGCGUGGAGCCAUCCUUGAAAUACCACCCUGGCAUGCUUGGGGUUCUAACUCUGGUCCGUAAUCCGGAUCGAGGACAGUGUAUGGUGGGCAGUUUGACUGGGGCGGUCUCCUCCUAAAGAGUAACGGAGGAGUACGAAGGUGCGCUCAGACCGGUCGGAAAUCGGUCGCAGAGUAUAAAGGCAAAAGCGCGCUUGACUGCGAGACAGACACGUCGAGCAGGUACGAAAGUAGGUCUUAGUGAUCCGGUGGUUCUGUAUGGAAGGGCCAUCGCUCAACGGAUAAAAGGUACUCCGGGGAUAACAGGCUGAUACCGCCCAAGAGUUCAUAUCGACGGCGGUGUUUGGCACCUCGAUGUCGGCUCAUCACAUCCUGGGGCUGAAGCCGGUCCCAAGGGUAUGGCUGUUCGCCAUUUAAAGUGGUACGCGAGCUGGGUUUAGAACGUCGUGAGACAGUUCGGUCCCUAUCUGCCGUGGACGUUUGAGAUUUGAGAGGGGCUGCUCCUAGUACGAGAGGACCGGAGUGGACGAACCUCUGGUGUUCCGGUUGUCACGCCAGUGGCAUUGCCGGGUAGCUAUGUUCGGAAAAGAUAACCGCUGAAAGCAUCUAAGCGGGAAACUUGCCUCAAGAUGAGAUCUCACUGGGAACUUGAUUCCCCUGAAGGGCCGUCGAAGACUACGACGUUGAUAGGCUGGGUGUGUAAGCGUUGUGAGGCGUUGAGCUAACCAGUACUAAUUGCCCGUGAGGCUUGACC